AGAGUUUGAUCCUGGCUCAGAAUCAACGCUGGCGGCGCGCCUAACACAUGCAAGUCGAACGAGAAAGCAGGAGCAAUCCUGUGAGUAAAGUGGCGUACGGGUGAGUAACACGUGGAUUAUCUACCUUCUAGUGGGGGAUAACCCUGGGAAACCGGGGCUAAUACCGCAUAAGUUCGAGAGAAGAAAGCAGCAAUGCGCUGGAAGAGGAGUCCGCGGCCGAUUAGCUAGUUGGUAGGGUAAAAGCCUACCAAGGCUACGAUCGGUAGCCGGCCUGAGAGGGCACACGGCCACACUGGCACUGAAACACGGGCCAGACUCCUACGGGAGGCAGCAGUGGGGAAUCUUGCACAAUGGGGGCAACCCUGAUGCAGCGACGCCGCGUGAGCGAUGAAGCCCUUCGGGGUGUAAAGCUCUUUCGGCAGGGACGAUUGUGACGGUACCUGCAGAAGCAGCUGCGGCUAACUACGUGCCAGCAGCCGCGGUAAUACGUAGGCAGCAAGCGUUGUUCGGAGUUACUGGGCGUAAAGGGUGUGUAGGCGGUCCUCUAAGUUUGGUGUGAAAUCUCCCGGCUCAACUGGGAGGGUGCGCCGAAAACUGGGGGGCUAGAGUGCGGGAUGGGAGAGUGGAAUUCCUGGUGUAGCGGUGAAAUGCGUAGAUAUCAGGAGGAACACCUGUGGUGUAGACGGCUCUCUGGACCGCAACUGACGCUGAGACACGAAAGCGUGGGUAGCAAACAGGAUUAGAUACCCCAGUAGUCC
rnacentral:rRNA from 1 species